UACGGGGGGGAGCAAGCGUUGUUCGGAUUUACUGGGCGUAAAGGGCGCGUAGGCGGUCAGUGCAAGUCAGUUGUGAAAUCUCCGGGCUUAACUCGGAAAGGUCAACUGAUACUGCUCGACUAGAGUGCGGAAGGGGCAACUGGAAUUCUUGGUGUAGCGGUGAAAUGCGUAGAUAUCAAGAGGAACACCUGCGGCGAAGGCGGGUUGCUGGGCCGACACUGACGCUGAGGCGCGAAAGCUAGGGGAGCGAACGGG
rnacentral:rRNA from 1 species